GUGUUUAGCUAGGGGAGCCAUUACGGCUGAGAAGGAAUGAUUCAUAAUACCUGACCCUUUGAACCUGACGUAGUUAGUACUACCGUAGGGAAGCUGAUAGAGUUGAUG
rnacentral:ncRNA from 2 species